CUGUGUUAUUUUAGGAUGAGAGAGCUUGGCUGGAGCAUGUCUCUAUAUUUUGGUUGCAAUUUGGGGUAUGGAACUGGACCCUGGCCAGACCUGCUCCUCAACUCUCUUGGUGACCUAUAGACCGGCCCAACGUGCAGGACCAGCUCCAGGUAGAGAGGCUGCAGCACACAUAUGUGGAAGCCCUGCAUGCCUACGUCUCCAUCCACCAUCCCCAUGACCGACUGAUGUUCCCACGGAUGCUAAUGAAACUGGUGAGCCUCCGGACCCUGAGCAGCGUCCACUCAGAGCAAGUGUUUGCACUGCGUCUGCAGGACAAAAAGCUCCCACCGCUGCUCUCUGAGAUCUGGGAUGUGCACGAAUGACUGUUCUGUCCCCAUAUUUUCUGUUUUCUUGGCCGGAUGGCUGAGGCCUGGUGGCUGCCUCCUAGAAGUGGAACAGACUGAGAAGGGCAAACAUUCCUGGGAGCUGGGCAAGGAGAUCCUCCCGUGGCAUUAAAAGAGAGUCAAAGGG
rnacentral:sRNA from 1 species